GUGAAUUUACACGGAGGUGUCCAAUUCAUAAUUUAAAGAGUGGAUGUUUGAAAGAGACUUGUGUAUGUUAAUGGGAGUGAAGAUGGUUAAUUUUUUGGAGAGUGAAUGAUUAAAAUAGAUGGUGAUUGAUUGAAGAUGAACUGCGGUCUGGAAAAGAAGGGUGAAGUAUGGCUUCUAUGAUGCUAUGGUUGCUGAUUGGGAUGAUGAAGAAGAAGAAGCUGGAAGAAGAAAUUGAUACUGUUUUUCUUUUUAAUUUUUAAUUUAAUUAAACUAAAAUCAAAUCAACCUCAUAUUUUAUUUUUUAAUUAAUAUAUUUUAUUAUUAUGUUUUCUUAAUUUUUUACUCUUGUUUCCAAAA
rnacentral:sRNA from 1 species